CUCGUGCUCUCUCUCAAAAAUAAAUAAACAUUUAAAAAAUUUUUUUGAAAAAGUAAAUUUAAACUGACAAAGUAGAAACCAUGUGCCUAAGUCAACGUUACGAUGUUCAAUUUUAUUAUUUCUGUUCAUCUUCCUGAAAGUUGGACUUCCUAACCCAUCUCCCACUCACAAUCACCCCCGUCCAACCCAAGUCUUCUGCUCAAACUUGGCUCCCUUGUCCCCGUCAGUGCCACUUUCCUUCUUCUGCCUGAUUCUACCACUGAGAGGGAAUUUUCUCCCUCUCUGUGCCAUCAUGUCAUUCUGUACCCUUGCUCUUGCUAAUGACAUUCUGCUUCACAUGAUGAUAAUUGUUCUUCUCUGUCUUCCCCCUUGCUGUGCCUCACUCGCGUUCAUACCCACAACACCUGCCCCGGAGAACAGGUCCCAGAGACAUUUCCUGAGGGAUGUGGGAUGGGAUCUCGAAGGAGUCAAGCUAAGCAAAGGUGGCUUCCUGGCAGAGGCAUUUUGGUAUUUUGUGGAGUUUGAAAGCCAUGGGGCCAUUUGCAGGAGGUCGACGAGAUAAAAAUUGUAUCACUGUCUCACUGUUUAUUUCAAAAGAAAACCACGAAAAAUGCUCAUGAAGGAGCCUCUUACAGAUUGUCAAGGCAACCAUCUGUUUAUUUUGGUUCCACCGUCUCUGCCCCUCCUUUUCCCAUGCAUUGAAAAUAUGAGCCUUUGCACUGGAUUAUAGCAAAGGGGAUGGCCAGGAAAAUACACGUAGUUUUACUGAACACAAUCCAUCUAGAGAUUUCAAUGCGGUGAGAAUGGGCUGGAAAGGGAAAAUACAAAACAGAAAUCUUUAACUUUAUUAUUCUUUUUUCUGUUAAAUCAGUGAGGGGGAUGACUCCAAGCGAGGCAUCCUCCUUUAAGUUUCUGCGUUAUAUUCAGAAGCACUGACAACUCUCCUAAAAGCAGUGAAAUCCAAAAUGAUCUCUACUAGCUGGACACAGAGGUUGGACACGACUGGAGAACUGGUGGGUAGAAGCAGAUACAGAGAUGGAUAGUAGCUGGCGAAGCUCCAAAGCACAUCUGAUUAUUUGACAUACAUUAGAUGAGAAGGCUGAUCACAGCGGACAUUGAGCUGAACCAACAAUGUAAUAGCCAUUAUAAAAAAAACGGGUGAAAGAAACUGGACACUGGAGUGGUGUCUGUGACCGAUCUAGUAUCCAUUCCAGCCCCCUAAUCCUCUAAUCCGCCUUACUAUACUGCGGGGAAGCAGCAAUCUCCCCAAGAACAGACUGGGAUCAUUGCAUAAAGGGGAGUAAUGUGUCACUGCUCUCAGCAUACGGCCUCUUACCUUUGGUAAGACUGGUCCCCUACCCUUCAGCCAGGUUGAGGUUCUCAGAGAAACCUCUGUUUCUCCUUUGUAGCACGUCUCACCAGGGAAAUUCAAUAGUUAUGCGAUCUGUUACAUGUCUGUCUUCCUACUAGGUCAUUAACUUCAUGAGAACAGUGACCGCAUCUGCCCGUAAAGAUACGGCUGUAUCCUUAUCACUUAGCACAGUGCCAGAUACACAGUAAGUAAGAACAAAAGGAAAUAAACCUGUACCUGUUCUUUUGUAACGAGAAGAAUGGACCGGAAACUAAUCUCACCCCUCCCAGGGCACUGAUGCGAAUGAAGUAGACAGAAUGAGGAAAAGGAAUGGGAUAGGAGGAACAAAGGGAGAGUGACACUUCUCUCCAAGUAUACUUUCUCACGUAUUCUUUUCAAGCCAUGUCAACAUACCACACACUCAUUAAAGCAAAGAAAUAAUUGAAACCAACUGGGAUGCAUAGGCAAUUCAAAAUGGAAUACAAACAAUGAGCCUGGUUUCUCUUUUGUUGUUUUGUUUGUUUGUUUGUCUUUUGUUUUUGUUUUUUUUCCAAAUGAGUAACAUACCCACACUGAAGCAAAGGGAGAAGAAGAAAAUAUACUAACUGGUAAACAGUAUCUUGACUAUAUAGUAAAAGGCUAAAGACAGCACUGUACAGAAGUGGGUGAAUAACUGAAACUAUUUAUACUAGGAAAGGGCAAAAAAAGUAAAUAUACUGUAGAAAAUGA